rnacentral:lncRNA from 1 species
GAUUCAUUCAUUAGUUUCUUCUAGUUUCUACUUGCGUUUCUCAUCAGCAACUUCAUCGGUGUGUACUUUUCAACUCUUCAAGUGCUAUAUAUACGCAUAUGUGUGCGUGUUUCUAAUAUCAUAUUUCAUCACACACAUUUAGCAGUAUAAGUGAAUAUCCGCUAACUAAGCCAUGGAGAAGAAAUCACUGGCCGGAUUAUGCUUCCUCUUCCUUGUUCUCUUUGUUGCUCGUAAGUCACUACUCUUAUGUCAUUCUUCUAUCAUAUGAAAUUCCACGUUGAUUUUAUUUCUUUAUUGGUGAAUACUUUAUAAAUCGAAUGUCUCUGACAUAUGCGGAUGAGUUUAUUUGAACAUGCAGAAGAAGUUAUGGUGCAGACUGAGGCAAAGACUUGCGAGAACCUGGCGAAUACUUACAGGGGUCCAUGCUUCACCACUGGCAGCUGCGAUGAUCACUGCAAGAACAAAGAACACUUGAGGAGUGGCAGGUGCAGGGACGAUUUCCGGUGUUGGUGCACUAGAAACUGUUAACCGGAUUCUCCCCAACCCGAACAAACGUGCAUGCAGGGCAUUUUAUAAAUAAAAAACUAUAUAUACAUACAAUAAGCCUUCUACUGCAUAUCUAUAUGUCAACUUUGUACUAUGGUACUACUUUCAUGUCAGAACUAUGUCUGUAGUCUCUGUGACUGCAUAACAGCUGAGUUAUGCACUUAUGUUAUGAAUUAUGAAUAAACUUCUUAAGUUGCAAAACGUCAUCCUAUUCUAUUCUUCUCGGUACUAUCAUUUUAAUUAAUCUUCUUGUCUUUUCUUCAGAUAUUUUGUGUUUAUAGUUUGUCCGAAAGUAACUUGCUGUAUUUUUUAAACGGAAUUAAAUAAUUGAUUUAGUAGUUUAUUAAUUUUGUAAAAAUAUUAACGUUUUAAUGUACAAAACUCAAAAAAAAAAAAAAAACACUAUUUAUUCGUAGAUACCAGCAUUCAGUCAAAUUCAAGUUGUUUGAAUGGAGAGUUAAUUUGAUUGAAUUUUUAUCAAAUUUAAGUUGUUUGAAUAACUAGUUAAUUUGAUUGAAUGUUUUAAACUGAAGAGUUAUAUUAAAUUAAAUUUUUAAUAAAAAACUGUUUUAAUGAAUGACAUAAAUAUAUUAAAUCUUUAAUUAAAUAAUAACAUGAAUAAUUUUAAUAAUGAUUAUUAUAAUAUAUGUGUUUUUAUAUAACUUAUUACUAAGAGUAAUAUAUAUUGAAAAUAAAAUUUAAAUUUAAAAAAUAUAUACAACUUUAUAAAUAUAAAAGUAUAAUUUUGGAUUGAGUGGAGUUUUUGUCACAUUCCAAAUAUAUGAUAAAAAUAUAUAAUAUAAUUAAGACGUUAUCACAUAUCAUACUAGAAAGCAGUUAGAGAAGUAACAAAGCAUUAAGUUUACAGUCAUCCAAAAUGGCUAAAGGAUUUGAAACUCUAAGUACCACAAAGCAAUAGAGUGUUAGGAUUACAGUCAUCCUCAAAUCGCUUUAGAAUUUAAACUUUAAGACAAAACAUAAUAUCUCAAAAUGACAUAAUUUAAAACAAGGAAAGAUCCUAGUGAAUCUAGGCAACAACAUCACCGUCCUCCAAGACCUGUUCCAAGGGAACCUCUUCUUCCUCUACUCACAUCUAAGUGGAUGAUCAUUGCAAAAGAAAAUAUACGCAAACAUGACACAAACACAAGCAAACAAGGGUGAGUUAAUUAUAUAAAACGCAUACAACAUAAGAGCAUGCAUAGGCAUAAUUUUAUUUCAAUCCAAGCAAGUAAAACAUACAUCAUAGCCUGUUAUCUUCUAGACUUGACUCGUCUGGACUUUAGAAUGAGAGUCGAGCUAUGACGGGCCAUGCACCCAUGGUGACUUAUGAAACUUGGGUUCCCCACCCUGCCACACUCACGAGGUUAGUUUGUUCCGCGCCUUGGAGCGUACUGGAAGCCUCCAAGACUAAGACCUCCUGCUACUCCUCACCACAUGGUCUAAUCCUCUCUACGUGAGAAGAAAGACCAUUGGAGCGCCAGGAAGACCCCCAAGACUGAGCUCCUACUUUCAUUCUAAAAUACUAAGAAUCUCACACAAGAGAUUUUACACAGAUGGAACUUGGUUUACUACUUGGAUCGUAAUUUCAUCACUUUGUAAUCGUAUACUUUUGCCAAAAUAAACAUAUACAUAAUCUAAAUAAUAAAUAUUCUCAAAAUAAUCAUUACACAACCACAAAAUAAUGAUAAGUCAAUCCAAAAUAAAAUAGUCAAUUAUUUACUAAACACACACCCCUAUUUUUCUAAGUCCUAUCAAAACUCUUUCACCUACCUAAGUGGACCCCACUCUAUAUCCAAAAUAUUAAACUAAGUUAUAUAUACCUAGGUGGCCCCACAUGAUUCAUCCAUUUUACUAAACUCAUCCUAUAAAUUCUUACAUAAACACCCACCACUUUCCAUACUUUUAUUUUAUUUCCUUUUAAACACUCAUAUGGACCCCAUGGUUCAUUAAUUUCUCCACUUCACUACCCAACACUUAUUUAUUCAUACAAACCUCCCCAUCAAUCUUCAAAACCUUUCUCUCAUUUUUCAAUAACAACAUACAAGCUCAUUAAAAUAAAGGUUUAAACCAUUUAGGCAUCCCUAUUUUCGUUAGGUAUUCCCAAUUUGGUCCCCUUCUUUUAAACUUUUCCAAUCGAGUCCUUAUAAGUGCUAAUUUUAAACAAAUUAACCCCUGCCGUUAAAAAUCGUUAACGGUGUUAAACUUGUGCACAGGUGGUUGUCUGACGUGUUUAAUGUUUUACUAUUUUGCGAAAUGUAAGACCCGAGAAAAUGUAGAGUUUAUAGAUAAGUCUUAAAUAUGUUUUAUUAAAAUCUACAUGAGUUUACAAAGUGUUGUGCAUUCAGUUGGUGUGCAAGUCUUGAGAAGAACAUAAAGUUCUAUAUUAUUUAUUUAUCUUGUUGAUAUAAAUGUAACACUUAUUGUUAAAUUUGUGAUGUGUUAUAUUCUAGUGUGAUGUGUUGGCUUGUUGAUAAAAAUAUUUAUUUAGGAUUGAAUGUAAGAGAGUUCAGAUCUUAGAAAGAGAUACAUGUGAAACAUUUGUUUGAUUUUAAUUAUAUUUUCUGAAGGGCAAGAAUGUCCUUUCCAUUUUGUAAUUGAGGUGUGGAAAUUAUAAAUAAGGGUGUGAAAAAUAAAGAAAAGUACUUUAAAUAAUAUAAGUUGAAAAUUAGAAAAAAAAAAAGGAUAGGAGGUUAUUUUGUUUAAAACCACUUGAGAUAUUAUAGGAAGCACUACCUAGUGGUUUCUUUUAAUUAUAAUAUGAUUUAUUUAAAAUAAAAAUAAAGAGGAGGUUUAUAAAAGAAAGGAAAAGAGAUUACGUUAAGGAGGGAGAGAAAGAGAACAUAGAGCAUGGUAAGUCAGAAACUUUCUUUGAAGAAAAGAAAUGUUUUCUUUUAAAAGAUAUAACAGAAGUGUGAAGACCUAUUAUUGAUUGAUGUUCUAUAAUUGGCUAAGGUAUGGGAAGUUUACCUUAAAUAAUUAUUUAUUUGUUGGGUUAAAUAUGUUUUUAGUCCCUAUACUUUGGGGCGAUUUUGGUUUUAGUCCCUCUUUCAAACUAAGGUACAAUUUAGUCCUUCAACUUUAGAAAACUUUGGUUUUAGUCCUUUUUACCAAAAUAUUUUAACUUUAUUUGCUGCUUCAAACGCGUUUCUCAGUUAACAUUGAAGUAAAAAUGUGUCAAACAGUGUAAACAGUCCAAAUGCUAUAAUGAAACGUGCUUGAAACAACAAAUAAAGUUAAAAAAAUUUGGUAAAAAACCUAAAACCAGAGUUUUCUAAAGUUGAAGGACUAAAUUGUACCUUAGUUUGAAAGAGGGAUUAAAACCAAAAUGGCCCCAAAGUAUAGGGACUAAAAACAUAUUUAACCCUUUAUUUGUUUGAUGGAUAAUAAUUUUGAAUGUGUUGAAGGUGUGAUUGUUUGAAGAAUUAUGAGAUUAUGUAAUCUUUAUACCAUGAAAAAAUGUUUCAUUCAUUUUCGUUUAUGUGCAUUCAUGAUUUAAUUUGAGCAAAUAUUUGAAUGAUGGUUUAAAGAGAAAUGAAUACUGAAAUAAAAGAACGAAUUAGGGUUUAUAGUUUCAUUUGAAUUGUAAUUAAUAAUUUAUAAGAAAUUGGAUUUUCUUUUUUUCUAAUUAAGAAAUUAAGAGCAUUUUAAUGACAAUUAGAAUUACAUUAAGAAUCAGAUUUUUCUUCUAAUUAUAAUUAGGAAUUUAUAUAGUUAGGCUUUUAAUUUUGUAAUUAAUUAGAUCCUAAUUAAAUUCUUUCUCCACUCAGAUUUUUCCCUACCUUUAAUGGAAUUUCCUAUUGUUGAUUCUAAUUUGACAAUAGACUUAAGAAUCCUAAAAGAAGAAGGUUUAAUACCUAUUUUGGUCCCUCCUUUGGGAGGGUUUGUUCAAAGUGGUCCUCCCUUUUUUAAAAAGUUCACUUUAGUCCUAACUUUCGCAAAAACUGUUCAAGUAGGUCCUUUUUUGUUACGGCGUUAACUUGACUAACGACAGAGCUGCCAGGUGUCUAAUAUGUGAUGAUAUGGCAUUGUUAAGUGUUUUAAAAAAAUAAAUAAUUGUGACGUGUAAAUUAAUAUAGUUAGGGUUCAAUUAAAAAAUGAAUUAGGGUUAAAUUAGAAAUUGAAUUAGGGAUAAUUUUCUGCAAUCCAUCCUCUUCGUCCAUCUGAUUCUUUGCAAUCAGGCAAUUUCUGCAAUCAGUGGCAAAACAGAUAUCCAAUAAGAGGCUUCACAACAAACUGGCCAAAAUAACCAGUGGCAAUUUUUGCUGGCCUCUUAAAUGCCUCAAUGAAGUCAUUUUCAUUUGAAUUAACCCCAACUGCAAACAUAAAAAAACCUAGCGCUGGUGCAUAGUAUCUGCAAGAAUAUUUGCAGUUUAAACUUUGAAGAAAUGCAGCAUGAAAUUCUACAUCAGGGAUAAUUGUUGUUCCUUCAUUAACUGCAAAUCAUCUGACUAUUUAAAUUUGCAAAACUACAACUACUCGCAUAACAAUCUUGUUAUCUAUCAACUCAUCAGAACAUCUACAGACUUGCUGGUAAACCACGUUAAAUAACGUGGGUAGAUUAGAGCAAGUAGUAUGCUAGCAAUGAGUACAUGAGGCAGAAAUGAAUUUGAUUGCUUCAGAAUCUCCAGAAUAGAAAUUGAAUUUUGCUCCACCUGAGAAAAAAGAAAAAGAAAAUAAACAACAACGAAUAUGCCUUUUUUUCAUUUUCAUUUGAUUACACGCAUGAGAGAAGCCUGCAUAGUGCAGAAAUCCCUAGCGCGCUGAUGGACGAAGAGGAUGGAUUGAAGGUAUGAACCCUAAGUCGCCCAGAUUUUCCCAAUCUGAAUCGCAAAUUUUACCCCAAAUUUUCUCAAAUUUUUUUACUUAAUUACCCACCCAAAAUUAUCCCUAAUUCAAUUUCUAAUUUAACCAUAAUUCAUUUUUUAAUUGAACCCUAACUAUAUUAAUUUACACGUCACAAUUAUUUAUUUUUUUAAAAUACUUAACAAUGCCACAUCAUCACAUAUUAGACACCUGGCAGCUCUACGGUUAGUCAAGUUAAUGCCGUAACCAAAAAGGACCUACUUGAACAGUUUUUGCGAAAGCUAGGACUAAAGUGAACUUUUUAAAAAAGGGAGGACCACUUUGAACAAACCCUCCCAAUGGAGGGACCAAAAUAGGUAUUAAACCAAAGAAGAAGAAUCCUUUCCCCAUCUUGGUUCCUCUCGACAGACCCAAUGCUAGGGUGUCAUCGUGGGUCUCACGCGGUCUAGGGAGGGUUUCCUCCUUCUCUUCCGCCUUGUUCAAGUUUGCAUUGCAAGGAGGGAGGCUCUCUUCCUCUUUUCCUCUUCUGCUUCAUCUCACAGGGAGAGAGAAAUGUUGUUCUUUGUCUGGUUUUAUGGUUUUGGUUUUGGGUUUUUGCAAGGCAAAGGAGGAGGUUUCGUUUUUCUCGUUUCUGCCUAGGUUCGUGUUUCGCAGGAGAGGAGAUUCCUUUCCUCUCCUCUUUUUCUGGUCAUUUUGGCAGGGAGGUUCGUUCCAGCGUCUAAGCAAAGUGAGGAGCUCGGUUCGUCAGCGUUCUCGUGGUGAUCGGAAUCGUGGAAGCUCCCUCUUUUGAAGGCAACCUGCGACGAUAGCAGAAUGGGCUGCGUUAUUGAUUCGCGUUUCUGAUUAGAAUUUUCUGAAAUUGGGAAUUUUGGAGAUUUUGGAAUUUGUAAUUACAAAUUAGGGGUUUCUGAUCUUGUUCUUCUAAUUUGGGAAUUCUCUUUUAAGAGCUUUGUUCUUGUUUUCACAAAUUGUGUUUUGGGAUCAGAGUUCUGCUUUGGAAAAAAUAUUGAGUUCUUGAUUCCGUAAUAUGUCAAUGGGAGUUGAUGAUCGAGAUGUUGGAGAUCUGGCUUUCAGAUUUUGUUUUGAGAAUGAGGUUCCUAUUUUGAGUUCAUGACCUUAGGGUUUGAGUGUAGGGUGUUCGAAUUAAAUAUCUGGGGUUUUGGCUCUUCGCGUGAUCGGAGGUUGAGUUUCUUGAGCUCGCACCUUUGAGUUCUUGGUUUCGAUCGGCGUUUGGCUCUGGCAGUGGUGGUUUCCACCUUCGAGGUGGCCAACGAGUAUGAGCACAGGUUCAUAAUGAAUGGCAGUGGGUCGUGGGUUGGUGUGGGUUGAACCUGGUUGGGCCUGCUCAGGCCCAUAGUUGGACUUUGUGAAACUUAGAUUUUUUUUUUUAAAUGGUUGAGACAGAACGUUUAAAAUAAAAAAAAAAAAGAGUAAGGGAUAAAGAAAAUGUAAUGAAAUUCUAAAUAUAUUUGGAAAUCAAAACUGUAGGAUCCAAAAAUGAUAAUAAGAUAAAGAUUAUGUCUUUGAAAUUAAAAUAAUGGGAAUUAAAAUCAUUUAAUUAGUAGUUUAUGAAAUUGGAAAUAUGAAUAAAUAUUAAUUGGUUUUAAAGAUGAAAAUAAUGAGAUUAUAAUUAUUAAUUAGAAUAUUAAAUUACUUACUAAUUUUAGUUGAUAAUGGAGAAAAAUAAUGUGCUUAUAAUAUUUAAUUAGAUCAAUAAAUGUUUUAUUGUUUUGGUUUAUUAUUAUUGUGGAGACUCAUGGUGUGAUUCAUGAUGAAAGAUUCGUGAUGAGAUUAGUUUUGGUGGAGGUACAUGUAAUGUUGAUUCAUGAUGACGAUGUGAUGGGAAAUGAUGACGUGGAGGGUAUAGUCAUAUUAUAGUUAACGAGGAUGUUGAUUAUGUUCAUAGUAUAGAAACAAUUAUGUGAGUAAGGGUAUCAUUGUAGCUGAAUGGUAUUAUUAUUAAGUUGUGCUUACUAAUCUUAUACAUAUUUUUAUUGUUAUUGGUUGUGUUAUGGUAGCUUACCCAUAUUUGUUUGUGUUUGUGGUUGUGUGUGUCUUGCGAUAAUCGUACAACUUUUGGUUAUAUGGGAGCAGAUGUUGCAGAUGCUUCAGAUGUAUGAUAGAGACGCGAGAGUGGAAAAAAAAACUUAUGUUAAUUAAAGUUUUCGUGCUAUAAAUAUUAGAAACAAUGUAAUCGGGUUUAUUUUAUUUUGUUUUUAUUGUACUAAUUUUGGUAUUUUAUAAGUGGAUUUCCGCAAGGGUAUUAUGAUUUUAAAAAUUUUAAAUUUCCCCUAAUAAUCGAGACAUUCCAAAAAAUCGGUAUGUUACACGAAACGUGGCAGUGUUGACUGAAACAUGGUUGUCUGAUUUCUCUGCCUCCUCCCUCACGCCCUCCCUCGUCUUGCAUUCGACAUCACUUCCUCCAACCACCACUCGCAGGAGGUGGAGCACAUCUCUGGUGGCCUCCAGCAGCUGAAGACAGCGUCAACAACUCUUCAGUGCAUCUUAAACAAUAAUCCUCCAUUUCCUCCACUGAAUCCUCUGUUCCCAUUACCACCACCACUUCCACCAUAUCCUCGGUCAAGCAUAGCCAAUGCUAAAUCCAUCAACGCCUUUCUUGCUCUUCGGUCAAGCAUCGAGGACCUUCUGGAUCCAACUAAUUGUAAAGGUCUUGGAACCUAUCUGUAACACGCUUUUGAAAUAAUCCAAGCUCUAAAUUAUAGGAAUCGGAUUCAUGACUUGCUUCCAGGGAAUGAACUUGCUCCUGCCUCACACCAAAUAAUGAACGACCAAACGAGGACAACAACGAAGAAGAGCCCUGAUUUUCAGGCAUUGCUACGGAGUCACAACCUUCAACAAAAGUCCCACUCAAGAUCCCCAACAAACCGAACCAAAACCACAAAGAUCACAUGAAACCCCUCAAAAACAACUGUAUUGAAUUUCUCUGUUUCAGUUUCACUUCCAAUAAGUUAUUUGUUACCAAUAAAGGAGUAUUGGUAAAACCUGAAGACAGAAGUUUUGAUGAUGCUGCAAAUUGUAAUUCUUGUUUGUAAUAGGAGAAUACUUAAAAGCAACUUGUAGUCUGUUGAAUGUAGUAGGAAAAUAAUUAACAUUGUAAUUUCUACUGAUAUAAUCGAUUAUGGACAUGCUAUAAUCGAUUAUCAUAUGUUUUUGAACUAUAAUAAUCGAUUAUCAUGAAGCAAUAAUCGAUUAUCACAAGUCUCACUUGAAUAAUCGAUUAUCACUUNNAAUAAUCGAUUAUCACUUUUUGAAUUUUCUAUAACGGACUUGAAUAAUCGAUUAUCACUUACAAUAAUCGAUUAUUCAUGGCAAUUGUGAGCUGACCUUUGGCAUUCAGUGUGCUUGGCUAUUUAAGUGAAUUUUGAAAGCUUCAGAACUGAACAUUUUUUAGUAAACUGAGAAAGCCAGAACACUGAGUAGUCAGAGGAACGUUCUUGAGAGCUUUUGUUUACUUUGUUCCCUUGCCUGGUCUUGUGAAAGGAGAGGCUUACGUAUCGUGUGCCGAUAGUCGAAGUGGACUCUCUUCAAGUUGGUAAGGCUCUCUACCUGGUCUUGUGAAAGGAGAAGCACGUGAAUUGUGUGUCGAUUGCCGGUGCAGGUUCUCUUCAAGUUGGUAGAGUGGUUUCCUUCAUUCUAUUUCUGUAUCUUGUAUUGUAAUCUGUUAAAUCAUUUUUAGUGGAACUGUUAAUCACUCUUUGUAGUGAUUAACGACUGGACGUAGAUUCUGUUGAAUCGAACCAGUAUAAAAAUCCUUGUGUGUUUUUUCUUUUGCCCUACACUCAUUUUAUUUUAACACACGUUAUCUGCUUGGUAAAUUUUCUGAAAGAAAAUUGUUUUUUAUAAAAAGGCUAAAUUCGUUUAAACUGUGACUUAUUACGCUCUACGCUCUCUGUGUUUUAAUCCGCUACGCUAAACUCUUUUAAAAAUUAACCCCUUUGAUACCAACAUUAUUGAACAUAAGGAAUUCAAAGUAUCCUCAACAGUCCAACAAAAUUCACACCAAACCCUAGCGAAGGACCAAAGCCAAUGGCUUUGGUGUACGCUAGUUCAGGGGAAGCAAAAACGAUGUAGUUGGAAAAUUUAUCAAGUACAGAAAGAGCAUAAGCUUACCGUGAAAUGGUGUUGAUGGAAUUGGAAAUGGCCAUGAAGGAGUUGGAGGUGGGAUAGGGGGUGGAAAUGGAGGAUUUGGAGACCGGGGCGGAGGUGAAGGAGGUGGAAAUGGAGGUUUUGGUGUCGCUGCGGAGUAGGUGGGUGUAAGGGAGGGGGCAAAAAAAAUCAUAGAGCCACAUGUUCAAAAAUUGACAGAUCACCCUCGCAUCUGUGCACAAUUUUAACACCGUUAACGAUUUUUAACGGUAGGGGUUAAUUUGUUUAAAAUUAGCUCUUAUAAGGACUCAAUUGGGAAAGUUUAAAAGAAGAGGACCAAAUUGGAAAUACCUAACAAAAAUAGGGACGCCUAAAUGGUUUAAACCUUAAAAUAAAACAUUAUAUGCCUAUCAAGUAAACCAAAAAUAAUACAUAGACUAAUUAAUACAUAUUAUCAGUAAAUACAUAUAUAAAAUAUUAUAUAUUGUUAAUCUAAAGAAAAAAAAAACAAAAUACUAAUUAAAGAAAACAAAAACUGUACAUAUUAAGCUUUCUUUUCGUGACUUUGAAAAUAAGAGAAAAUGUUAUUUUAAUAUACCAUUUAACUACAAUAUUUUGAUGAAAAGAAACGCAAAAGAGAUUGCACCAAGUUUUGCCAUUUUUUCGUGAAAUGACGAAGGUAAGUUCAAACUUCAUCCAUUUAAAAGAAUAUUUUAUAUUAUUUUCACCAAAACUUUUGUUUGCACCAAUAAAAGACUUUCCAUGUAAUCAUUACUCUAUUCCAAUUUCUUAAACUUACCCUACUAACAUUCUAUUAACCAUUAAAAUUGUAAACACAUCCCAAAAUAUAAUUGCCCUGCAUAUUCAUAUAAUAAAUAAUCCACUGAUGAUACUAUAAAGAAUUAACGAAAGCCCUUUACUCUUAGUUUUAUGAAACCCGCAUGGCUUCGGCAACCCCAUUUAUUUCUGUAACACCAAAACCCUUAACUAUGAUUUUAAUACCCAACCCUCAGAUUCAUUUUCUUUUCUAAACUCCAAUCCAUAUUAUAGCAUAAGAUGAAGACACCCAAGAAAACAAUGUACGAGAAUAUAUUUAUUUCAAUUCAUUAUACACAACAAUCAAUCUAGUUGCUCCCCUUACACAUAUAUCCAUUCCCAUAAUUUACAGAAUCAUAACUAACACAACAACAAAACAAUGUCAACUCCCCUUACCUUUUUGGUGGUUAUAAGUACAGUGCUCUAGGAGGAGCCUCUAAACAGUACCCCCACACAGUGACAAGUUCUACAAAACCUACAACCACCUAAACGGGUGUAGAGUAUAACUCUUAGAGCUUGAUUGGGCAGGAAACACAAGGGAAAAUUUACUAGUUACAUGCAACCAGUAAAGUUGCAUGCCCUAGUUGCAAGGAAAAUGGAAGAAAAGGGGAAAAGUGACUUACCAGUCGGAAAGGAGAAAACUAUCGGUAGAAUUAGAGCUCUUUACGUGGUGAACGCUUGUGCACCUUCAAAUCAAGGAUUGAACGAUUCAAUGAUCGGGAAAUGUAUAGAGAAGGCAGAGAGAAUUUAGGGCAAAAGAGUUUUAGAGAGAGAGGUUUUAAUGAAAUGAAUCAGACUUGCUGAGAAGUUCCUCUCUCCUAAGGCUAUGUUGUCCUUAGUCUUAUGGACCUGGCUGCCUCAGUUAAGGUCCAACAGGCCUGUACUUUUAAGGCCCUUACAGUUUUCAUAAAAUUCUGAGUUAGUCAAAUCUAUAAUUAUUAAUUUUACUAAAUUUUAUUCAUCAACAUUAUCUAUUUAUUUAAUUCAAUUUUGAUAAUAUCAAAAAUACAUAUGAAAAGUGAUUACAAUCAUAAAAAAAUAUAAUUAUAAUUCAUGUUUUAUUUUAUAUGCCAGAAGCUGUAAUUAUAAUAUUAUCCAAACAUUGAACUAAAGAUUCAAUAAAAUAUCAAAAUUUAAAACUAUACAAGUCCAACUAUUUAUAAAUCUGCAUCUUCCGCUCUCAAUACUUGCUCAAGUGAAACAUUAUUUUCUACUCACAUCAAUUAGGUGAUUAAACUUUCUAAUUCUAUUAACAUUAAGUUUUUUCCCCAAUUAUAAACCCUAAUUCCAUGUCACCCUCUAAUUGGCUUACACAUCACAAUCAAUAUUCCAAAACAAUGUCACGAUAACAAAGUAUGCACAACAUAACUUAAAAAAUAAGUCAACGUUAUCUAUUUAAACACCAUCAAUACAAUUGUCCUUAAAAAAUAAAAUGACAGAAUGAAGUGAUUCGAUGUGUAGUAACAGACCUGAUAUCAAUCUACAAAUAAGUGGGUAGUUUAGGCUAACUUUUAGCACAAGGAGGAUAUCUUUGAUUCUGCCACUUGUUUUGAACUCCACAUUUUAUUUUUAACCAAUUUUAUUAAAUAAAAUUCAUUAAUUAUCAUUUAAGAACACAUUUAUAUAAGAGUUUAUCCGAAGGAAACGUUUUUCUUUAAAGUGAUGGUGCAGAGAAGAAAGUAAUAGCAAUGUACAAAUAACUAGGUAGUUUAAGCUAACUUUUAGCACCAAGAGAACAUCUUUGAAUCUGUCACUUAUUUUGAACUCCACAGUGAAUCCGCGUCAUUUUGUCAUUUUAUUUUUUAAAAUACGUGAACCACCCAGAAUGUGACAUGUGGUGGUAUCAAAAAUUUGUCACAUUCUGGAUGUCAAAGUAUCAUUAUCCAUUCCAUAAUUACUAACUGCAUCCUUUAGCAUUUUAUUACAUAUAUAUAUAUUCUAGAAAGUUUUAUUUUGGAAAUCUCGUUUUCAAAACUUAUUCCCAAAUUUUUUGAAAACUUGUUAUAGAAAGUUUUCGAAAUAUGAGAGGAUAAAAUAUAUAGAAAAUUUUGGGAGGUGUGCGAAGAAAUUAUGAAGUGCAGGACGUAAAAGCCCUUAAACAUAAUCCAGGGCCAAUAAGUAUCGGGCUUUUGCCCAAGCCCAUUUGAUCAGAAUCCACCAAAGAACACCUCGGGUUUCUUCCGUGACUAAACUCACUGCAAAACCCAUAGCUCAACCAAACGGAAAAAAUGUCGAGAGAUGAAGAAAACGAUGCUCUGCGGAAAAAUGUUACGACUUCAGAGAAAGAAGACGAAGCUCCGUCACGAAGGGAUUCCAAAAAAGUGCGAGAAAAUUCGGAGGUAGACUCGGAAACCGAAAGAAGGCGCAGCAGUUCGAGGAGAAAAUCGCGGGGAGGAAGCUCGGAUUCCGAUGACGGAGACAGACCACACCGGAAGAAGAGGAAAUCGCGGCGUCGAUACAGCAGCGAGUCGGAUUCCGGUUCCGGUUCAGGCUCCAGUUCGGAGGAGUCCGAGUCCGAGUCGGAGCGGUCCGGUUCGGAUUCGGAGUAUUCGGAAUCGGAGAGUGAGGAGGAGCGCAGAAGGAGAGAGAAGAGGAGGAGGAGAGAGAAGGAGGAAGAGAGGGAGAGGAAGCGGAGGCGGAAAGAGAAAGACAAGAAGAGGCGGAGGAGAGAGAAAGAGGAGGAGCGGAGGAAGAAGGAAAAGUUGAAGAAGAAGAAAAAGAAGAAAGAGAGGGAGGAGAGAGGGAAGAAGGGAGCUGUGACGAAUUCUUGGGGGAAGUAUGGGGUUAUUAGAGAAACUGAUAUGUGGUAAGAGAUGAAUGUCUUUUUAUUAUCUGUUCAUUUUUGUGUUCGAUUGUUGAUUGAAAUGUGAGGGAUGAUUGUUUGUUGGGAUGCGUAGUUAAAUUUGAUUGAAUGAUGAUGGGAUCGAGAGUUAUAGGUUUUCAAAUUGAUCAGUGGUGUAGUUUCGUAUGAAACUUGGUAAGAUUAUUAAGGGCAAUGACUAAGAACUGAAUUUGAUAUUUUCACAUGACAAGAAGAAUUGUAAGGCGAGCGAUAAGAAGGACAAUAAUUUAUCUACAAAAUUCCAGCGUGCUCCAAAAGAAUCUCUCAUUUCAUUUGCUUACAAGAGAAAUUAAAACUCAACUAUCAUAUUUUAAAUGAUCUUCACAUGACAUUUCAUUUCAUUUCAUGGGUAGUAGGUUAUAAUAUAAACACCGGAUAACGAUUUCUAGUUUUUAGGGAUUUUACAAUUUUGAAGUUUGGCAGCAACAUGCCAGUGCCACAACUUAUGAUAUAUAUGAUGAUGUUGGCAUAUGCAAAGUUGACAUUGUUUCUCUUAUAUUGCAUAAUGUAGGGGAGCAGCAGCAGAAAUUUCUUAACAGGGGUUAUUGUUGAAAGGGUUUAAGCAUAGCAAUUUGUACUUGAUAUUUAUGACCAUUUAGCAUGCACUUCUCUGUUUAGACUUUAGAAGAUAAUUAACGGAAACAAAUUAUGAAAUUGGUAACAUGUUUACUGGAUGUUAUGAUCACACUUUAUUUUUCUUUUGGAAGUGUCAAUUUGUCUCAAGACUCUCAACUCAAAUGUUUGUGGUAUCAAAUUACCAAAACUUGUAAGCAGAUGAUUAAGUAGUAGAGUUAUGAAGGCCUUGUUGAAGUAAAUAAGGAUCCUGCAUUUUUGGUGUAGCCUGAAUCUAAUAACUAGUUAAUUACCUUUUAUAUAUUAUGAAAUGAUGACCUUGCCAUACCAUUUUGUGGGUGACGGUACAAACCUAUGAAUAUUACAGGACCAAACGACCAGAGUUCACUGCAUGGUUGGCCGAAGUAAAGCAGGUGAUUAUUGGCUUAGUUUCUAUAUGGAAUCUAAAAAUGUAUAAUGUUUAUUCUUCCAUGGUGGUCCUCUGUACUUUCUUGCAAUAUCAUCUAUAUAUUCUUCACACAAAUUAAGUUUGUAGUCGUGUUUAUUUCGUUGAGAAACCAGAUCUUCAUAAUAAGUAGAUGAUAAUUGCCUCUUGCCUUAAAGCCUGUUGGACUUGAUCAAUUUGACCAAAAAACUCCUUCCCUUUAAAAGCAAAUGUAGAUUUUUUUUCCUUUUCAUGUAUUGGAGUCCUAAUUUAUAUCAUGUCAUGAUUAUAUUAAUAUACAUUCUAUAUUGUAAUUGUUGUGGUAUUUUAACAGGUGAAUUUGGAGAAUAUGUCCAAUUGGGAAGAAAAACAGAUGUUCAAAGAGUAAGUAAAGCAACUAAACUUGGGAAAUAGUAUAUAAAGUGGCUGGACUGUUAAGUUUACUAUUAACAUUGUAUCAUAAGUCAAGCUUAUCGAGUCAAGAUCUAAAUCAUGAACUGCCAAGCUAUAUUUUGAAUUGUGAAUCAUAGUUUUGUAUCAAAUCGUAAGAUUUGGGUACAAUGAAAAAUCACGUCAAAUAUAUCAUAUGGAUGAUAUGUGGUGUUCAACGUAAAAUAUUCUAUAAACAGAUAGAACAACUUAAGAGAAGGUGUUAGGAUAUACGGUGGUAGGGUAUAAUGGGUAAUGGGUUUAGGAUAGAAGGUGGAGGAAUUGCAUAAAUAGUACUCUAUUAUGUUGUCAGAGGGAGUUUUUUGAGUAUUCUUUUGUAAAGUCUGGACCAUUGGCCAGAAGAGGGGGAUUAGGCCUCCGUUAGAACUAAGAGGGGGAUUAGGCCUCCGUUAGCGCUAUCAGUGUUCAUUGUUCUCAAUAUCAAUACAGAAACCCAUUCUUUUGGCAGUUUGAGUUCUUGUUUGUGUGAGAGGGGGUUGUUUAAGUUAGGUUUCCAACCCAGGAACCUAACAGAAGUCAUGCAAAAUAAAAGCAAUUAGUUAUAUAUAAGUUUGUAACGUGUUUAUUUUAGAACAGAAAAAAACAAUCAAAUAACUCAAUAGAGUACGUGCAUUGAAUGAGAGUGACAAUUUUUAAUCAUAUAGGAUAAGAGCACAAGUGUUCUUUCGAAUUCGUUUCCAUUUAAAAAUUUAAGCUCAUUACUUUUUAAUUCAUUUCACAAGAAUUGGUGAAAAAGUAAAAAAUAUUAAUCAUUGUGUGAAUUGUAUUGGUGAUAUGAAGUUACACAGAUUCAUUCAUGAAUGGAGGAUUCAAAGUUAUUUGAGAUUCAUGUAUUGAAUUGUAAGAUUCGAAUCUUGAAUCUUCAGAUUCUGAUAACAAUGCCAUAAGUGCAAAUGGGUCCUAGUAUGUUCUUAGCGAUUUCUUUCACCACCCCUUGAUGGCACUUAUUGACCAACAAAUUAAUUAAUUGUUACAUUUAAUACCGUGUUAAUUUUCUUUUCUUAGGUACAUGUGUUUAUUUAAAUGUAAUCUAAUUUCUGAUAUGCAGAUUCAUGGAGGAUCACAACACAGCGACUUUUCCUUCAAAGAAGUAAGAUCUUGCAGAGUGUCAGUUGAGCUUAUUUAAGUCUCUGCAUUCCUUUGUGCUCUCAUUUUUGUAAAUAAGAACUAAUAUAAGCCCACGUUCCUGUUAUUUGGCAUCUGGCAAUAUUUUUGCUUUCUGAUUUAUCUAUGCUGUGCUCAUCAAUGCAAACUCCUUAUUUUUGCAAUGAUGACACGGAUCUGAUAUCUUGAAUGGAUAAUUUUUAUUUUAUUUUUGUAUCUAUAUGGUUUAACAGAGGGUUUAAUGUGGCAGGUACUAUAAUCUUGAUGCUUACUACAGGCGACAAAUGGAAAAAGAGAUGAAAAAGGGUUUUAAGAAGGUCCAUGCAACAGAGCGCACUGUUUUCAACGAUGAAGAACAGCGCAGGUGUACUUUUGUAAAUGCUGCUUUUACGUAUUUAAUCUUAAAUUUGUUUUGGCAACCUUUAUCUUUUCAAACUACUGCAUCUGCUGUUAUUUGAUUUAUUUUCUUUAAGAAGCAACACUGUUGACUGUCUUCUAGUUUCUGUUUUUGAUAUCUUUUUUCUCUUGGUCAGCAGUUUUUCAUUUUGCAAAAUCAUGCCAUAGUAGACCACCUGAAGCUUUCUUGAAACUGUCUGAAUAUGAUCUCUAAUUUAUUAUCCAUGACAGUUAUUUCCAUUUGUUAUCUCCUUUUUUAUGCUAUUUUAAUGUUGCUAUGACAAACAAAACUAUCAUUUUCUAUGUUGGUCUAGAUUGCUUCACCCUGCUAAAAUAAUUUUUUAUUCCAUUUUAGGCAAGAACUGUUGCAAGCCCGUGAAAAGCACAAGGAAGAGCAAGUGAUGGCGUUGAAGCACUCCAUGCAAACUGGAAUGGUUGGGUUUCAUACUGGAUUGCUUUUAUGACAGUUUGAUAUCUAGUCAUUUUUUUAAUGGCAAGGUUCUUUUGUAAUGUUGGCAUGCAAUAAUUUACAGGCGCAGGCAAUGAAAGAGCAAGCUCAGCUUAGGGAGGAGAUGGCUUACCAGUACAAGCUCGGAAACUUUGAGGUCAGAAUUACAUGAUAAUUUCCUAUUUUGAGAUCUAAUUUUAGCUUUUAAGACUCGGCUACAACUAGCUGCUGUUUUAUCACUAUAGGCUGCUGCUGCUAUCCAGAGAAGGUUGGACCCUGAUGCUGCCAUAUAGCUGGACAUUACUUGUUGUAAACGAAGAAUUGGGUUUAUAGGGCAGAAAUAAUGCUAUCGCCAUGACCGGGUAAUGAUUGAUCCUGUUGAAGGACUGAUUUUUGUGUGCCAACUACAUGUAUCUUUUGACCUGGUGUUAGCAUGCCGUGGAUGGUUAUGUUCCGAUGGAUGAGUUAAUUUUCACUAUUACUGACUCUUCUAUACCACUUUUGCUAAUUGAAGAGUAAUGCUUUUUCAACCAGUGACCUUUUCAAACCUGUAGUUCAAGCUCCGUGCAUGGCUUCAACAUUGUCCACCACUCAUGAUCAUUCGGACAUACAGAAAUUGACUAUUGCUAUAGAUACUGUCGUCAGUGAAAUAUCAAUUUGACAGUUCAUCUUUUCAAACGAUCUUUUGUCUGAUAUUUUUUCUUACCAUAUGUUUGAGUGAAAAUAGAGAGAAGGAAAUCUGGAUGUGGAGAGAUUAAGGACAAAAGUUGCAACCUGAGACGUGCAGUUGUAUUCUGUACCCACUGAUAGUUAUGGCAUACAGCUUCCAUCGGAGAAAAUUGUCAUCAUUCAGUUUGAAAAUGAAAAGCUAAGAUGCUUUUUGGUUGACAAAAUAUUAUAUAUUUUUGUUUCAUGUUGAAGUUUCUGAAAACUUUUUUUCUUUUAUCAUUUAAAAAUGCUUUUACAUUAACUUCCUAUUUAAACAAAACUGGAUUUCCAAGGCCCGAGAUUGGAGUGGUUGAGAAUUAUUUACAUGUAAUUUCUAAAUAAAAUGCAUUUGGCAAUAAUGGUGUUGGAAUGAUUUUUAAUUUAAUUAUAAAAAUAUUUUAUAAUUAUUAAUAGUCAUCUUAUCAACUCGUUUUACUCUUAGGAUCAUUAUAGUUGCUAUUGUCAAUGACUAAUAGUAUUAUCACCACUAUUGAUGAUAUGGAAAAUAUUUUCCUCUAACUUGAGAAACAUGUCUGAUAUAGGUCAUUUUACUAAAACCGAAGAAACUAACUCUAUUUUUUCUUGCUGCUCUAGAGUUUAGCGUUGCAUUGCAUUCUCCUUUACUUCCAAAGUCCCCAAAUACAAAUAUAUGUACUUUACAACUUAAUACUGAAUCAUUCAGAUUGCAGUCUCAAAUGUGUGUAGAAACCAUUAAUAGACAGAAAUAUGAAAAUAUUGAUAAAUUUUUGGAAUGAGUUGCCACAAAUUGCUAAUUUCUACUAAAUAUAUUAAAAUCUGUAUACAAAGGAAUUGCAUACAUCAAAUUAAAACUCAACGAAUAUGAUAAUUGAAACCAGAUCUGUUCUCAGUAGCGGAUAUAAUUUUGACAAUUUCACUUCUUGCCUCUGAAUUGCUAGGGUAAGGAAUAUUAAUUGUCACAUCCUUCAAAAGCUUUAGAUUUUUAAAAUAUAUUUUGUAAGAAAACAGGUUGGUGAUUUUUGAAUGAUGAUGAAUAAAACAGAUUUGUAGAAGAAUCACCAUUGAUGUAAAACCCUUGGCCCUACAUACAUGAAUAUUUUGGCGUCUACUAAGGAGGCAAAAAGCAUAUGGUAAUCAUCAGGAACAUGAACAUAAUGAAGUAAUGUAGUUUUGGAGGAAGAAACAUUUGAGGAGCAACACAUAGAUCUUAUAGAAAUAUUAUGGAAGAAGUGAAGAGAAGAAAUGACGAAGAAUGUAAAGAGCUUCAAGCUUUAGGCGAGAAAACACUUUGAUGAGCCAACUUACGAACAACAAAGAACCAACAGAUCCAACUCCAACACAACAAAGGUUGCCUAAAUAGACCCAUGUAGAACAUAGACAAAUGGUCCAAGGAGAAAGUGAGGAGGCCAGUGGAGACCAUAAUCCCAUCAAUCAUAGCCACUGUAGAUACGAUCGAAGUUCAUCCUUUCACAAUAGGAAUCGUGAAUGUCCUAUCACUUAAGCACUAGAAGGUGCCUACGUUCAACAAAUAUGAUGCAACAACAAACCCAAAUGAACAUGUUAGCAUGUUUGCAAGCAUUUUUUAUGACCAACAAUGUUGUUUGGUGUAAGGUGUUCCUAAUGUCAUUAAGAAGGGCAGUGUUGGGAGGUUCACCUAUCUACCUUUAUUACCUUUAUAACUGGUUUGGGAAAGUGGCUCUCUAGAUUAGGAAUCUAACCCUAAAGUGUUGAGCAUUGCAAAAUGAAAAAACUCAAUACCAAUAUAUAGAGAAGAUGACUCUAGCCAUAGUCACGAUUGCCAAAAUGAUCAGGCCAUAUUUUCAAAUUCAUCACAUAAUUGUAAGAAUCAAUUACUCGAUCACGAAGAUUAUAAGACAACGAGAGCUAGUCAGUCAUAUGGUAGCUUAGGCAGUGGAACUGUCUAAGUUUGGUUUAAAGUUUGAACCUAGAAGAAUGUCCAUCCUCAAUACCUAACCAAUUUCACAGCAAAAUUUUCGUGCAACUCACAAUCUGAACUAGAAGUGUGGGCUAUGUAUAUAGAUGAAUCAACUGGAUAGAAAGGAGGGGGAGCAAACAUAGUCCUUUAAGGACCAAAACAGCUCAAAGUCGAACAAGCAAUAAAAUUAGAUUUCAAAAUGUCCAAUAGCCAAGCUAAAUAUGAAGCACUCAUAGCUGGACUAUGCAUAGCCAGUUAUAUGAGAGUAACUAGAGUAAUCUGCAAGAGUGAGUCAUAAUUGGUUGUUGGCUAAUACGUGGGAGACUACUAGGUCAAAGAUGAGUUUUUGUCAUAGUACUAUCACACGCUUAAGAAGCUAGUAGCUAAAUUUGAACAAGUCAUAGUCGAACAUGUGCCAAGAGAAACAACACAAGAGUUGAGUACCUCUUGAAGAUAACAAGCAAAAAAAAGGGGGGCCAAUUGAACACAAUCAUACCACAAUCCUUGUAAUUUCAAGUUAAAAUUUGUAACUGAUGGAUUCUUUGAAAACUUUGAAACAGGUAACUUGGAAUGCAAGAUAACCAGUGAUGAAAAAUCAUGUUCAAAAAUGCAGAAGACAAUCUUGUUAAGCAGCAAGUUUACAAAGUUCUUGAAAAAGACGAAUAAUCAAGAUCAUUCUGCUAAUGCCAAGAAAGCCAAGAAGAAAAAAGAACUAAUCAUGAUGGCAAAAUCAAGAGUAGUCAAACCCGAUCUAGAACAACAUUUCAAAAGUCCUACAUGGUAUCUUGACAGCGGGUGUUCGAGACAUAUGACUGGAGAUCCUACAAAAUUCUCAGAAAUCUCAUAUAAAGCUGUUGAUCAUGUCAUGUAUGGUGAUAACAACAAAGGAAGAAUUAUCGGCAUAGGUAAAAUAAAAACUCCCUCAUCUUAUGAAAUUAAAAAUGUUUUGCUUGUUGAAGGGUUAAAGCACAAUUUGCUCACCAUCAAUCAGCUAUGCAACAAGGGAUUAAAGAUCACAUUUGAACCCAAAUAUUGUCUGAUCAGCAAUGGAACAACAAAUGAGUUACUGCUUGUGGGAAAAAGGGUGAACAAUAUCUACUUAAUCGACUUUGCAGAUAAUGCAUUCAAAUUCGUUGUAUGGCUGAUGAGCAAAGAAGAAGAUGUGUGGCUAUGGCACAAGAGAUUGAAUCACAUCAGUAUGAGUCAAUUAAAUAAGCUUGUCUCUAAUAAAAUGGUAAAUGGCUUGCCCAAGAUUCAUUUCAAAACUGACAGGCUAUGUGAUGUUUGUUGAUGGAUGUCGCACCCCAUGCAAAAUUUAAUGUGCAUAAAAGAAUGCAGUAUAGACUAGGAAGUGACUCCUAGUGGAUCCCCUGAUAUUUUGAGCAGCGGUGUAGUAUCAAAUCCCAAAGAUAGAAAGUCUUUUCUCUUUACUUAUAAGAACUUAGAAGAUAAGAAAGAAAAAACUUUUACCAAGAAAAUAACUUUUAUUUUAUUAAAGAACAAAAUGUUUGUUAUGCUUAAUAUCUUUAGUUGGAUCUGUAUUUGUAUUCCCUCCGUCCUUUAUUCCAGUAGUUUUUUGUUGGAGAAAUUGCCCGAAGCCUACGCUUUCUUGAAUCCAAUUGUGGAUAUUAUGCCAAUAAUACCCUUACUCUUUUUUCUUNNNNNNNNNNNNNNNNNNNNNNNNNNNNNNNNNNNNNNNNNNNNNNNNNNNNNNNNNNNNNNNNNNNNNNNNNNNNNNNNNNNNNNNNNNNNNNNNNNNNNNNNNNNNNNNNNNNNNNNNNNNNNNNNNNNNNNNNNNNNNNNNNNNNNNNNNNNNNNNNUUCAGAAUUUAUCAGAAAACUAAAAUUCGAACAUUUUAACAAUUUAUAAGAUCAGAUAAGUCUUACAGUGUGAAUUCUGGAUUCCAAUAUUGAAAUUUUUCAAUAUAUAGGAAAAAAUAGGGACCUUCUCAUCAUUUACGUUUUUUGAAUUGAAAAAACCCGUCUCUCAAGGACCAAAUCGCGGUUCAAGAAUUAGGUUUAACACGCAGUGGGGGGAGGGGGGGUUGGAAAUGUUUUUGCAAAGAAAAUUAAAUUAAAAUAAAUCUGGAAAUCAAAUACAACUAAACAUAAUUAAAAAUAUCGAAAUAAAUGAACGAAGCAUGAAACUGAACGGUUCUACAUUGAGAUCGAACGGUCUCUAAAGUAAGUGAGGAAAUUGAAGAAGUAGAAAGAUAAAGGACCCGAAACUAAAAUGUAGUAAAUAAAUCUAAAAUUCAUCUACUUUAAUUAAAAAGACAAUGGGUCAACUAGUAACCAAAUGCAUGAUGUAAGUUGGAAAUAAAAUAUUAAAAGUAAAAUGUUGAACAAAAUUAAAAAGUGAGAAUUAACUUCCUAGACUACGAACAUUGAAACAAGCAAACGGUAAAUAAGCAAAGUAACUUAAAAGUUAGCAAACUUCUCGAAUCUAGCAUUAAAAUAAAACGAGCACCACAUUCCAGCCUGUGGCACUACUUCUACAGAAAAGAAAACUAAAUCCUACUGGACAUCUCCACCCAUUUUACUACCUUCUUUUAUGCAACUUUAAUUAAAAACCAAAAGCAAAACCCUUCCAGGCGGUGAUAUCCAGCCAAGUGUCUGUGUGUGCUUCUCUCAUCCAUGACACCAACUCCUUCCUUUAAAGAAAUAAAAAUGACUUCAAGCCUUGCAAUUGAAAUCCGCGCUUAUAGAAAUAAAGAAAAGGAAAAGUGCUUUGCUUUCUUCAACAAAUCGUAACAUCGUGCAACUUUAAAAUGAAAUGAGCAUGUGUAAAUCAAAUCAAAGAUGAAAGGCUAGUAAUUGCAGCCGCAUGCUUUUCGAAAUCAAACAGAAUCCACAAACUUUCCUAGCCAAGAAAAGAAAGAAAAGCUUUGUAACAUUUAUCCUUCAAACAACGUAAAGACCUCUAUUCCAAAACUCUCAAAAAAGUUCAAAAGUAAAAUGCAAAGAUGAGUGGCGGCUCCCCGCAACCUCUUCCGUGUAGUACCUAGACUUUAAAUGAAUCUCCCUUGCCCUAUGCUGGACCAAGCUGAUGGACGUCCCACUUCUCCAGCCCAAUUGCAAGCUGCAGCCCCUAUUUUAAAAAUGGAGUGUGCCUUCAGCUCGUGCACACCUCACUCAGCCCCUAUUUCCAAGCUCUACGUUGGGUGCUACAUGUUUAAAUUACUGGACAUCAUUGCAUAUGGGUUGCACCAAUGCUUCCAGGUUUGUGAGCUGCUGGACUGCUUCUGAUGGGUCGUGCUGGACUCCUCAAUGAAGUGUGCACCUCCUAAGCUUGCUGCGUGUAGCUUUCUCUACCUCUGGAUGCUGGACGACUUCAAUGCAGCUGGACAGUGAGGUGUUUGCUGGGCCGUGUCAUGAUGGAAGGAAGCUUCUUCAAAUGCUGGACGAAUGGUGCUGCAACAUGAAGCUCUCUCUUCUCUUUUUUUUUAUCAGCCCGUGAGCUCCUCCACUUGGACGUGCAAAUGGAGUGUUGGGUGCUUGAAGAUGCUGGGUUGCUGCUUUCUUGAGCUGCUAAAUGAAUGGCCCAAGCUGCUAGAUGUCACCUACAUGAUGAAGCUGGACCGUAUCCUUUGAACGUGUUGUUGUCCCAAGGUGUGCUGCCUCUCCUAAAUCCUGGUGCACCUUGAUGGAUGAAGAUAUUGUUGUAAAUAAAUUGUGCCGUUAUACUUUGAUAUUGCAAAAUAUCAGAAUUUGCUUGGCUGUGCACGUUCCGCAAAGCUCGGAAAGACGUUGCAACUUCAACUUUCGGUUUUGUGGUCAAAACCACUCCCGCAAGGAUCGAGAUUUCUUUUUCAGUGAGAAUGGUUUCAUGGAAACCGCAAGGCACGCGAUUUUCCCGUUGGAUUUUGGGCCUUGGGCCAAUCUUCGUUGGUUUCUCACUUUAUAAAUAGAGUGGCUUUCAUCCAUUCCUAUCACACAACUUACACUCUUCUAUUUCUCUCAUUCUCUCCUUCUUUAUUCUCUUUCUCUCAUUCUCUCUUUUCUUUUAUUUUUCUUAAAAUUAUCCUGGGUUUCAUUCUUUCUCUUUUAAAGAGAUCCUUGCUAGUUCUGAGAUCCUCAGACAUUUCUGAGAAGUUCCUGUUGUAUCCUGGGGGGCUUGCGCAAUACACCGCGGAUAAGUCCUUAAGGACAGUGACUCUACACGCCUCAGGAAAUUUUGUUCGUGAUUCUGUCAGCUUUUCUACAACAAUCUUAAGGACUUAUGGCUGACAACAACAACAACUUAAUCCCAGAGAAUCAGAAUACUGUUUUCGGAACUCAGACGGUCUUCGCCAAACCAUUCCCGGAUGUAUCAAAAAUUGAAGUCUUCUCUGGUCAGAAUUUUCGGCGCUGGCAAGAACGUGUGUCAACCCUGUUAGACAUGUACAAAGUCGCCUUUGCUUUUUCGUCUUCAAAACCCGACUUCCGUCUUCCUCCAAAUCCAAAACAAGUUGAAGAUUGGGUGCAUGCAAAUAAGGUAUGCCGCCAUACUUUACUUAGUGCACUUUCUAAUCAUUUGUUCGAUGUAUACUGUUCCUAUAAGGAGGCGAAAGACAUUUGGGAUUCGUUGAUUCUCAAAUACACUGCUGAAGAUGUAGUCCAACAAAUGUUCAUUAUUGGGAAUUAUUAUCGUUGGGAAAAAUGGUUGAAGACAAGGACAUAAAGUCGCAAAUCAAUGAAUACCACAAGCUGCUCGAAGAUAUCAAAGCGGAGAACAUUCUUCUACCAGAUGUAUAUGUCUCACAGCUUCUGAUCGAGAAAUUGCCGCCUUCUUGGACUGAUUACAAGCAACAACUGAAACACAGACACAAGCAAAUGUCACUUUCAGAGCUAAUCACUCACAUAAUCGUUGAAGAUACCAACAGGAAAGAAUGUGCUACUGCGAGGGCCAAAGCUUUGUCUACAAAAGCAAACGUGAUAGAAGACAAACCUGCUCCAAAAAGGUACGAACAUAAACCUGAUCACAAUAAGAAAAAUUAUUUUCGAAAAUCUCGUCCCAACGGAUCUAACCCCACCUUUAAGAAGAAAGGAAAUUGCUUCGUAUGUGGGAAGCCGGGCCAUCAUGCACCGCAGUGCAGGUGCAGAGCAAGAAACGACAAUCCUCCUAGGGCCAAUAUAGCCGAAGGAGAUGAUAUUAUUGCUGCGGUCGUUUCUCAAGUAAAUUUGAUUACCAAUGUGAGCAAGUGGGUGGUAGACUCUGGUGCUACCAGGCAUAUUUGUGCAAACAAAAGUGCCUUUACCUCUUACACUAGUGUAGGGGAUGGAGAAGAACACGUCUACCUCGGUGAUUCCAGGACCACUCCUGUUCUGGGAAAAGGGAAAGUUCUUCUCAAACUCACAUCUGGAAAGACUUUGGCCUUGAGUGAUGUGCUACAUGUGCCAUCAAUCAGAGUUAAUUUAAUCUUUGUGGCACUGCUGGGAAAAGUGGGGGUUAAAGUGUCAUUCGAGUCUGACAAGAUUGUAAUGACAAAGAAUAAUGUUUUUGUGAGGAAGGGAUAUUGUGAUCAAGGUCUCUUUGUACUUAACAUUUAUGAAAAUAUUAAUGAAUUGUCUUCUUCUACUUAUAUUGUUGACUCGUAUGAUUUAUGGCAUGCUAGAUUAGGACAUUUGAAUUCUUCCUAUGUUAUGAAAUUACAACGACUAGGAUUGAUUAAUAUGCAUGAUAAACAGAGUAGUAAAUGUGAUAUAUGUGUAGAAUCUAAAUUAACAAAGAAGACAUGUUUUUCUGUAGAACGCCAAACUGAACUGUUAGGGUUAAAUCAUACUGAUCUAGCUGAUAUGAAACAAACCAUGUCUAGAGGAGGUAAAAAUUAUUUUGUGACCUUUAUAGAUGAUUAUUCUAGAUACACUAAAGUUUACUUAAUCAAACAUAAAGAUGAAGCCUUUGAUGUGUUUUUCACCUAUAAAGCUGAAGUAGAAAAUCAAUUAAAUAAGAAAAUUAAGAGGAUUAGAUCAGAUAGAGGUGGUGAAUAUGUUCUAUUUAAUGACUAUUGUGUUAAAGAAGGUACCAUCCAUGAAGUAACCCCACCAUAUUCACCUGAGUCUAAUGGAGUAGCUGAGAGAAAAAAUAAAACUCUUAAGGAGAUGAUGAAUGCGAUUCUUAUUAGUUCUAGUGCAACUGAUAAUCUUUGGGGAGAAGCCUUGCUUACUGCGUGUUUUUUACAAAAUAGAAUACCUCAUAAGAAAACUGGUAAAACUCCCUAUGAGCUUUGGAGAGGCUAUCAACCUAACCUUAAAUAUCUAAGAGUGUGGGGGUGCCUAGCUAAGGUGAUGUUACCCGAUCCUAAGAAAAGAAAAAUAGGUUCUAAAACCUCUGAUUGCAUGUUCUUAGGCUAUGCUGAACAUAGUGCUGCCUAUAGGUUUCUAGUUCUUAAAAGUGAUAUACUUGAAAGAAAUUCUAUAAUGGAGACGAAAAAUGUUGAGUUUUUUGAACAUGUUUUUCCUUUAAGGGUUAAUGAGAUGUCUCAACCUAUAGAUAAUAAUAAUAGUGAUGCCCUGUGUGAAGAAUUAAGAAGAAGUAAAAGACAGAGAAAGGAAACUUCAUUUGGUAAUGAUUUUUAUACUUAUCUAAUUGAUAAUGAUCCAAAUAGCUUUGUAGAAGCCAUUAGAGCUCCUGAUGCAAAUCAGUGGGAUAAAGCCAUUAAGACUGAAAUUGAAUCAAUUCAGAAAAAUAAUACUUGGACCUUAGUAGAUUUUCCUAAAGGGGAAAAACCCAUUGGUUGUAAAUGAAUCUUUAAGAAAAAGUAUCAUCCUGAUGGAUCUAUAGAGAAGUAUAAGGCAAGAUUAGUAGCAAAAGGUUUUACUCAAAAACCCAACAUAGAUUACUUUGAUACUUUUGCCCCUGUGACUAGGAUUUCCUCUAUUCAAGUUUUGUUAGCCUUAGCAGCAAUCCAUAAGCUAGUGAUACACUAAAUGGAUGUUAAAACUGCCUUUUUGAAUGGUGAUUUAGAGGAGGAAAUUUAUACGACUCAACCUGAAGGGUGUGUUGUACCUGGUCAAGAGAAUAAGGUAUGCAAGCUUUUAAAAUCUUUGUAUGGGUUGAAACAAGCACCAAAACAGUGUCAUGAAAAACUAGAUAAUGUACUGCUCUAUGAUGGUUUUUCACCUAAUGAUGCUGAUAAAUGCGUGUAUUCUAAAUUUGAAAAUGGUGAUUGUGUCAUUAUAUGUUUGUAUGUGGAUGACAUGUUAAUUUUUGGUACAUGCAAUGAAAUUGUUGCUAGAACUAAACUAUUUCUAGGAUCAAAUUUUGAAAUGAAAGACAUGGGUGAAGCCAAUGUAAUUUUAGGUGUUAGAAUCAUAAGGAAGGGAGAUAGUAUUUUACUAUCCCAAGAACAAUACAUUGAGAAACUUCUUAAGAAGUUUGGAUAUUAUGAUUUCAAACCAGUGAGUACCGCUUAUGAUGCUAACUCUAAAUUAAUGAAAAAUAGAGGAGAAUCGUUAUCUCAGCCUCAGUAUGCCCAGAUAAUUGGGAGCUUACUACACUUGAUGAGCUUUUCUAGACCUGAUAUUCCUUAUGCAGUAGGUAGACUGAGUAGGUACACUCAAUGUCCAAGUCAAGAACAUUGGGAUGCACUUUCCAGGCUUAUGAGAUACUUAAGAGGUUCAAUGGAUUAUGCCAUUGAAUAUAGUGGAUUUCCCGCUGUACUAGAAGGGUACAGUGAUGCGAACUGGAUCUCUGAUUCAGAUGAGACAAAAUCCACUAGUGGUUAUGUAUUCACACUUGGGGGUGGUGCGAUUACAUGGAGAUCAGCCAGACAAACAAUUAUUGCAAGAUCAACAAUCGAAUCUGAGUUUGUCGCUCUUGAGAUGGCUGGUAGUGAGGCUGAGUGGUUGAAAAACUUCUUAGCAAACAUUCCACUAGGAAUGAAACCAACCCCAUCGGUGUCUAUACACUGUGAUUGCCAAUCGGCAAUAGCUAUAGCUAAAAACAAGAAUUACAAUGGAAAGAAUAAAUAUAUUCAAUUGAGACACAAUUUGGUGAAGCAGCUGCUAAAGAGUGAAAUUAUUUCCAUUGACUAUGUGAAGUCAGAACGGAAUCUAGCAGAUCCUCUGACAAAACCCUUGGGAAGAAAUAUGAUUUUAGAAACAUCGAGGGGAAUGAGACUUAAGCCACUGGCAAACAAACAAGUGAUGGUAACCCAACCUUUGUGAUUGGAGAUCCCAUGAAUAAGGUUCAUAUAGGUAAAAACAAGUCACUUGUUAGUUCUGAUAGCACUAAUUUGAUUUUAAAUCAAAUAUGUCCAUUCCUAUGGUGUGUGAAAGUGCUAGAGACUGCAUUAUUGAGAGGUUAAACUUUGUAGUUAAACAAAGUUUUUAAUGAUUUUCAUAUCCCUUAUGGGUGGUGUAUGACUUGCAGCAUACACUUGAUGAAAUCACCUAUAUGAGUGUCAAGUGGGGCCGCUUGCAUGAGAUCUUGGCAUGAUCUCUAGAGCACUCAUGAAUACCGGGCACACGCAUGGCCUAGUAAGCGCAUCACAGCGAUAACAACAAGGAUUGUGGGGGUGUAAUGUGAUCAAUAAACCUCUAACAUACUCAAGUGUAUUUGGUUCAUAUAGCUUGCUAUACCAACUAUACUGUGUGUUAAGUUUCUUGAUCUAGGACUGGUUCAUAUAGCUUGCUAUACCAGCUCUGAUGCAUUACAUCUUAUAAAACCCAGGAUUUUUCUUCUUUUCUUUCUUUUAAUCAUUGUUUUCUUAUAUAUAUUUUGCAAUAUGUGGGGGAUUGUUGUAAAUAAAUUGUGCCAUUAUACUUUGAUAUUGCAAAAUAUCAGAAUUUGCUUGGGUGUGCACAUUCCGCAAGGCUCGGAAAGACGUUGCAACUUCAACUUUCGGCUUUGUGGUAAAAACCACUCCCGCAAGGAUCGGGAUUUCUUUUUCAGUGAGAAUGGUUUCAUGGAAACUGCAAGGCACGAGAUUUUCCCGUUGGAUUUUGGGCCUUGGGCCAAUCUUCGUUGGUUUCUCACUCUAUAAAUAGAGUGGCUUUCAUCCAUUCCUAUCACACAACUUACACUCUUCUAUUUCUCUCAUUCUCUCCUUCUUUAUUCUCUUUAUCUCAUUCUCUCUUUUCUUUUAUUUUUCAUAAAAUUAUCCUGGGUUUCAUUCUUUCUCUUUUAAAGAGAUCCUUGCUAGUUCUGAGAUCCUCACACAUUUUUGAGAAGUUCCUGUUGUAUCCUGGGAGGCUUGCGCAAUACACCGCGGAUAAGUCCUUAAGGACAAUGACUCUACAUGCCUCAGGAAAUUUUGUUCGUGAUUCUGUCAGCUUUUCUACAACAGAUAUUGCUUGCUGCAUGUGGGCAUUAUCAAUGGCGGGCCUGAUCUGUGUGCACCUCUCAUGCUUGCUGGAUGAAGAUGUGGCUGCUGCAAUUACACCUCCUCGUCGAUGCUGCUGCAUCUCCAAAAUAACCAAGUUGCUGGGCCAGGUUGCUUACUUCUCCAAGCAUGACGUGGUCCUCAUUCCAAGCUGUUGGACGCUUCUAUUUUUAUAAUUUGAAUCCAGCGCAUAGCACUCCAAAACGUCACCAGGCCUUGCACUGCUUCCUUUCUUUUCUCAGCAAAGCCCGCUGUUGUACUUUCACUUUUUGCAAAUGGGCCGCUAGCGUGGGUGAAGAGAAUUAAUGGAUGUGCAACUCUCUUUCGUGCUUUGGGCCGUGAGUGCCUUUCUCAUCUUCAAGCUGGACGUUAAGUUGGUGCAAUUCCGUGUGCACCUCCUAGGCAGCGUGGAGGAUGCAUUGUAAGAUGGAAGUGUUUUUUUUCUAUUGAAUCCAUGCGACAGAAUUCACGUGCAGCAAGUGGGUGGCAGCUAUUGCCUUUCCGCGUGCAGCCCCAAAUUCAACAUGUUGCACCCCUUUCUCAUAAGCCCAAAGGGUAAAAUCACCAUAGUGCCCUUCUUGUUGUCCACACUUCUUUCGUGGAGAGUUUUGAAUUGUGUGAUAACCCUUCCAAAUGUUCCUAAAUUGCGUUUCCAAAAUUUUCCUUGAAAAUAAUAAUGCAAAUAAUUAGCUCAGAAAAUUCAAAUUAAUUAAAAUUAGAAUUUCCGGUCAAAUUAAGCACAAUUAACAUAAAUGGGAAAAUACCGGACAAUUAAGCGUAAUUUCCUGAUUAAAUUCAGUACAAUAAACUAAGUGAAAUCAAUAAAAUAUCAACUCAUCACUUGUCAAAAGGGAAAGUUAACCAAACAACCAUUCAAGAGUAAGAGUGAAAUGUCAACAAAAAGACCUCUGCAGUUGCUUCACAUGGAUCUAUUUGGACCAUCCAGAACAAAGAGUCUUGGAGGUAAUUCAUACGGGCUAGUUAUUGUGGAUGACUAUUCGAGAUAUACUUGGACCUUUUCAAUUGCAUCUAAAAGAUGCACUUAAAGUCUUCAAACAAUUUACUGCUGCCAUUCAGAACAAAAUGGAUCUUAAGAUCAAGGCUAUCCGAAGUGACCAUGGAGGAGAAUUUCAAAAUAAGAAUUUUGAUGAAUAUUUGGCCGAAAUAGGAAUUACUCAUAACUUCUCUGCACCAACAACACCACAACAAAAUGGAGUGGUGGAAAGGAAAAACAGAGCACUUGAAAAAUUGACAAGAUCAAUGCUGAAUGAUAGGAAUAUGCCAAAAUAUUUCUAGGCUGAUGCGGUGAGCACAACAUGUUAUGUACUGAACAGGACAAUCAUCAGGUCUAUACUGAAACUGACACCAUAUGAAUUGUUGAAACUCACAGCUGAGAAUCUUUGGAAGCAAGUGUUUUGUAUUGAAUAAUGGCAAAGAAAAUCUUGGGAAAUUUGACUCCAAAGCUGACGAGGAAAUCUUUAUAGGAUAUUCCCUGAACAGCAAGGCAUACCGGGUAUAAUAAGAGAACCAUGAAUGUGGAGGAGUCAAUUCAUGUUGCAUUUGAUUAGUUUAUCAUGACUCCAAAUCAUUAUAAACAAGUCAGGAACUCUGCUGUAGAAGAUGAGAACACAAUGAAUGAAGAGGACCCUGAAGAAGCUACUGAGAAAGAAGAUAAGGCUGAGCAAGUUGAAUCCCCUAAAGCUGAGUCGAUUAAAACAUGGAAAGUACCAAGAAAUGUUUCAACUAAGAAUGUGAUUAGUGACAUGUCAAAAGGAGUAUCCACAAGGAGACAACUAAACUAGUACUGCAUGAACGUUUCCUUUGUGUCCAAAAUUGAACCUAAGAAAGUUGAGGAGGCAUUAAGUGAUGAAAAUUGGAUGAUUGCAAUGCAAGAAGAACUGAAUCAGUUCACAAGGAACAAUGUGUGGGAACUGGUACCUCGAAAACCUGAUCUACAAGUAAUUGGUACAAAAUGGGUUUUCCGCAACAAGAUGGAUGAUUCAGGAGAAAUUAUAAAGAACAAGGCAAGGUUAGUUGCAAAAGGCUACUGUCAAGAAGAAGGAAUCGACUAUGAUAAGACAUAUGCUUCGGUAGCAAGAUUAGAAGCUAUCAGAAUACUUCUAGCCAUUCCGUCCACAAUGAAAUUCAAGCUAUAUUAAAUGGAUGUGAAAAGUGUCUUUUUAAAUGGAUAUAUUAAGGAAGAAGUAUAUGUUGAGCAUCCACCUGGAUUCAAAGACUUUGAAUACCCUAAUCAUGUAUACAAACUAAAAAAGCCUUACAUGGAUUAAAGCAAGCACCACGAUCAUGGUAUGAAAGGUUAAGUGAAUUUCUUGUAAGGAAAGGAUACUCAAGAGGAAAAUUUGAUUCCACCCUUUUCAUCAAAAGCUCAAAUAAGGAUAAACUUUAUGUGCAGAUUUAUGAUGAUAUUAUCUUUGGUUCCACUAAUCCUUUGUUGUGCAAAGAAUUUUCAAAGGUUAUGCAGGAAGAAUUUGAGAUAUCCAUGAUGAGAGAGUUGACAUACUUCCUUGGUCUGCAGGUGAAACAAACAAAAGAUGGCAUAUUCAUUCAUCAGUCAAAAUACUACAAUGAUCUGUUGAAAAGAUUUAAGAUGAUGGACUGCAAAGAUGCUGCUACUCCAAUGGCUACUAACUGCUACUUAGAUCUAGAUGAGACUGGUAAAAGUGUUGAUCAAAGAAUGUAUCAAGGUAUGAUCGAAUCAUUACUUUAUCUUACUGCCAAUAGGCCUGACAUCAUGCAUAGUGUUUGUCUUUGUGCUAGAUUUCAAUCUGAUCCUAAAGAAUCACAUCUCACAACUGUUAAAAGAAUUUUAAAGUACCUCAAAGGUACUAAAAAUCUUGGACUGUGGUAUCCAAAUGGCACAAAUCUUUUUCUAAACGGUUAUAGUGAUUCUGAUUUUGGAGGUUGUAAACUAGACAGAAAAAGCA